ACUUUCUGAAGCAGUUCUGUAAGUCCUUUUUUGUGAGUGUCUUUACCAGGUGUGAUAAAAACAACAACAAAACAAAAACAAAAACAAAAAAACAAACAGUGAAUGCUGCUGCUGAGAUCUAACAGAAAGGCAGGUUUGUAAAAAAAAAAAAAAAUUAGUGUGUUCUCAUCCUCCGUUUUCACUGGACUGGCACUGUGGGACUUCUAGCUCUUUCCCAAAGUCAAAAUGACCAUGGUUUUGAAUCAGUUCUGGAGAUGGAGGCAGCCAGGGCAGUGACUACAGACAUUCAGGAAAGAUGACUCCCAGAACUGUUUCAGAAAGUGGCAAGAAUGAUGGAAUAAGUGUGUUCAAAGCAAAGUGGGCACAUUUUGAGGGAGAUUAAUGGCAAUGUGUCUUUUACUAUAAUACAUUAAAAAAAUCAAAUAUUCACCUUAUGUUUUGAUUGCACCGCAUAGACAUCUUGAUCAUCCUGGCAUAUUUAAAUAAAUUAAUAAGAACAUUUCUCCUCUUUUCUACAUUCUUUCUUUUUUGCCUAGGAGGUAAGGAAAAUUGGUUUUUAUUUCUUUUUCUUUCCUGACAGAUGGGCCUCAUUGUUUGGGGAGGUCUCUCCAAGUUUCUGCUCUUUGUGUUUACAACAUCAACUGAAGUCAUAUUUUAAGCGUGAAGGUGGUGGAAAACUGGACAGUCUCUGUGUUCUGACCUACAGAGAAGGACGUGAACUUGAGAGCCAUUCUUCUACGUUUGCUUUUCUCCUGGGCUAGGAGCACUCGGAACCACAGGGCGCGGGCUGGGUGGGGUCAGCAGGGGCCGGCGGGGUCAGCGGGCGCACACACAUUCCCGUCAUGCUCUGCUGUCUCGGUCCGGCUUCGCCCUCGACGCCGACUCUGCCACGAAGCAGUAUGGGCUGCGUUCCCAGGCUCCCAGAAAAGACCCUGACUUCUGUGGACUGCUCCUUUGCAUGUGCUGUCUCCAGCAGGGGUGCUGGCCUCAGGUUCCGUGGCUGGGAGCUGUGAUCUUUCCUCAUUUCUUACAGACUGCUCCUGAGCCAGAGAACAAAUACCAGUACUUCCGGGUGUCUGGUCCUCGUUAAGCCUGACCCAGUUGAUGGUUCACAGUUUUUACUCUGAAUUGACACCUCACCUGUGGCUGAAUAGCUGCCUCUAUCUUCACUUUUGAAGAAAAGGCCACAGGGGACUGCUCAGCGGUUGCCAGCACUUGUCCUCCCAGCUAGAAUGCCAUGUAACUGGGCUGCUGCUGUCACCACCUUCUUCCCCAGGGAACCAGCUCACCACAGGCCUCUGGGCCUCGCCUGGGGCCCCUGCCAAGCUCCCUGGAGUAUGGCCAUUCUGAGUUCUGUCUUGGAGCCCCUCACUGUCUGGGUCCUCCCACAGGUUGUAAGAGAAGCAAACUGAAAAUGUGCUAAGUCCUUCAUCGCCUCCUUUUUCCAGCCUCUUAUUUGAAGAUCUCUGCAUAUUCCCAGACUCGCACUUCUUAGUAAUUUUCACAAAAAUAACUCCAAGUGACAGCUCAGAGUAAACAUCUUAGCUUUAAAGCCUUUACAAUUAGACCUCCUUUUGCAACUGGAAGGGAGCAGCUGUAAUUAAGAAGUACACACAGAAAAUAAAAAAGUUUUGAAGUCUGUCCUUUGUUUCUGAAGCAUCUGAGCCGUUUUGCAA
rnacentral:lncRNA from 1 species